UACACAAGUUAAUUUUCUUCUGUUAACUUAGUAUAUUUGCGUGUCGCUGCUACAUGUACAUACGUAUGUACAUACACAUACACAAAUACAAGCAAAGACCAGAAAAAAAUACAAAAUGGAGAUCCGAACCAACAACAAUAAAAACGAAGUGUUUUUAAUACGGAGUUCUUGUUGUGUUGAUGGAUCAGUCUACGCUUCUUUGCUGAUUUGACGGGGAAAAAAAGUAAUUUGGCAACAGUGACAUUAACUGUUAAAAAUAUUGGUUAAUCAACUAAAGUGAAACCGUUUUUGUUCAAUAAAUAGGUCAAACGUUGCGCUUCUAAUUUUA